AUGAACGCUAGCGGCAGGCCUAAUACAUGCCAGUCGGACGGGAUUCAGGAGCUUGCUUCUGAUGAGAGUGGCGCACGGGUGCGUAACACGUAUGUAACCUACCUUUAUCAGGGGGAUAGCCUCUCGAAAGAGAGAUUAAGCCCGCAUAAAAUCACAGCACAGCAUUGUGUAAUGAUCAAAUAUUUAUAGGAUAAAGAUGGGCAUGCGGAACAUUAGCUAGAUGGCGGGGUAACGGCCCACCAUGGCGACGAUGUUUAGGGGAUCUGAGAGGAUGGCCCCCCACACUGGUACUGAGACACGGACCAGACUCCUACGGGAGGCAGCAGUAAGGAAUAUUGGUCAAUGGGCGGAAGCCUGAACCAGCCAUGCCGCGUGCAGGAAGACGGCCCUACGGGUUGUAAACUGCUUUUAUACGGGAAUAAACCCAGAUACGUGUAUCUGGCUGAAUGUACUGUAAGAAUAAGGAUCGGCUAACUCCGUG
rnacentral:rRNA from 1 species